UUGGAUAUGAGACCCAGAGAACUAUUCUUGAAGUUGACGAACUCAUGCAGCGGUCUUCCCUUCAAAACAGCAGUGGUAGAUUUCUUCCUCGCCGGACGCCCAGAUCCAGAACACGAACACCAUGAACCACAGAUCUCUCCCGUUCCAAAGAACGAAAGGAAGUGAACGUCCUUGGCCUCAGAAUCCUUUGCCCACCUGAGACGUCAAGCUGAGAGAGCUAGAUGCCUCCUCUGCUUUCCAUCACACCCACCUUCACCUUGCGGUCGGCCGCACGUCGUGCUGCAUGCAGUUGACAUCACCUGCAUGCAUGUCGGAGACAAGCUUUUGGAUCACCCUACGUGAUUCCUCUCCUGAAAUAGCAGUGCAACCAUUUAUCCGGUUCAAGUCGUUACAGACCUCGGGUUGCAGACAACCGAAGCUUCCUGCACACCAAAAGAUGGAACAUCGGGUGGCCCAGUUGUUCCCCGCAGGGGAUGAGUCACUGGGGGAAGCGUCCAUAUCCUGCUUGCACUUUUCAGCUGCAGCAUCUCAGAGGCGUCUUCCAGCAGCUCCCAUGUUGAGGCCACCUGUGGAAGUCCAAGCGAAAGUUAGCGAAGGCAUCACAUCACUAUUGAUCCUGGAACUGUGGCAUGUCAACAACGUGGCGUGCAUGAUUGC
rnacentral:lncRNA from 1 species